rnacentral:lncRNA from 1 species
UCUUUUCUUCCUCCACCUUAGUUAUGACCAUGUCAACCAUUUGAUAAUCAACUAUAUUUUUUUUUUGUUCUUUUUCCAAAUAAAAUAAAAUUUAAGGUUUCUUUUUAUAAUUAAAGUAUCUAUAUUUGGUAAGAAACUCUCAUAACUUUAUAACAAAAGAAAACUCAAAAUUAGUAGAAUAUAUUUAUUUAAUUAAGUUUUAAUUUGUUGAAAAACCAAUAAAU